AGAUUGAACGCUGGCGGCAUGCCUUACACAUGCAAGUCGAACGGCAGCACGGGAGCAAUCCUGGUGGCGAGUGGCGAACGGGUGAGUAAUAUAUCGGAACGUGCCCAGUCGUGGGGGAUAACGCAGCGAAAGCUGUGCUAAUACCGCAUACGAUCUAUGGAUAAAAGCGGGGGAUCG
rnacentral:rRNA from 1 species